ACACUCAUGUUUCUCUUCAUAUCGUAUAAAUCUUUCGCCUUUUACUAAAGAUUUCCGUGGAGAGGAACACCAUGAGUAUUGACUAAUUUUUGAUACCCCGCUAACCAGUGGGGU